rnacentral:rRNA from 1 species
GUGGGGAAUCUUCCGCAAUGGACGAAAGUCUGACGGAGCAACGCCGCGUGAGUGAUGAAGGUCUUCGGAUUGUAAAGCUCUGUUAAUCGGGACGAAAGAGCCUAGUGUGAAUAAUGCUAGGAAGUGACGGUACCGGAAUAGAAAGCCACGGCUAACUACGUGCCAGCAGCCGCGGUAAUACGUAGGUGGCAAGCGUUGUCCGGAAUUAUUGGGCGUAAAGCGAGAGCAGGCGGAUCUGCCAGUCUGUCUUAAAAGUUCGGGGCUUAACCCCGUGAUGGGAUGGAAACUACAGAUCUAGAGUAUCGGAGAGUAAAGUGGAAUUCCUAGUGUAGCGGUGAAAUGCGUAGAUAUUAGGAAGAACACCAGUGGCGAAGGCGACUUUCUGGACGAAAACUGACGCUGAGGCGCGAAAGCCAGGGGAGCGAACGGGAUUAGAAACCCCGGUAGUCC